rnacentral:rRNA from 1 species
ACGGGUGAGUAACGCGUAAUCAACCUGCCCUUCAGAGGGGGACAACAGUUGGAAACGACUGCUAAUACCGCAUACGAUCUAAUCUCGGCAUCGAGGAUAGAUGAAAGGUGGCCUCUACAUGUAAGCUAUCACUGAAGGAGGGGAUUGCGUCUGAUUAGCUAGUUGGAGGGGUAACGGCCCACCAAGGCGAUGAUCAGUAGCCGGUCUGAGAGGAUGAACGGCCACAUUGGGACUGAGACACGGCCCAGACUCCUACGGGAGGCAGCAGUGAGGAAUAUUGGUCAAUGGACGAAAGUCUGAACCAGCCAAGUAGCGUGCAGGAUGACGGCCCUCCGGGUUGUAAACUGCUUUUAGUUGGGAAUAAAAAGAGGGACGUGUCCCUAAUUGUAUGUACCUUCAGAAAAAGGACCGGCUAAUUCCGUGCCAGCAGCCGCGGUAAUACGGAAGGUCCAGGCGUUAUCCGGAUUUAUUGGGUUUAAAGGGAGCGUAGGCGGAUUAUUAAGUCAGUGGUGAAAGACGGUGGCUCAACCAUCGUUAGCCAUUGAAACUGGUAGUCUUGAGUGCAGACAGGGAUGCUGGAACUCGUGGUGUAGCGGUGAAAUGCUUAGAUAUCACGAUGAACUCCGAUCGCGAAGGCAGGUGUCCAGGCUGCAACUGACGCUGAGGCUCGAAAGUGUGGGUAUCAAACAGGAUUAGAUACCCUGGUAGUCCACACAGUAAAC